rnacentral:rRNA from 1 species
AUUGAACGCUGGCGGCAUGCCUUACACAUGCAAGUCGAACGGCAGCACGGGAGCAAUCCUGGUGGCGAGUGGCGAACGGGUGAGUAAUAUAUCGGAACGUGCCCAGUCGUGGGGGAUAACGUAGCGAAAGCUACGCUAAUACCGCAUACGAUCUAUGGAUGAAAGCGGGGGGAUCGCAAGACCUCGCGCGAUUGGAGCGGCCGAUAUCAGAUUAGGUAGUUGGUGAGGUAAAGGCUCGCCAAGCCGACGAUCUGUAGCUGGUCUGAGAGGACGACCAGCCACACUGGGACUGAGACACGGCCCAGACUCCUACGGGAGGCAGCAGUGGGGAA